rnacentral:rRNA from 1 species
UAUAGUUUGGUUCUGGCUCAGAACGAACGCUGGCGGCCCGUCUUAAGCAUGCAAAUCGAACGGCAAGGCAGGUGCUUGCACCUGCCCUACAGUGGCUGACUGGUGAGUAACACGUGGGUGACUUGCCUUUUAGUUGGGGAUAGCUACUAGAAAUAGUAGAUAAUACCGAAUGUGAUCAAUAUUUAUAGAUGAUGUUGAGGAAAGGAGCUAAGGCUUCCCUAAAACAUUGGCCCGCGGACCAUUACCUAGUUGGUAGGGUAAAGGCUUACCGAGGCUUUGAUGGGUAUCCGGCCUGAGAGGGUGAUCGGACACAUUGGGACUGAGAUACGGCCCAUACUCCUACGGGAGGCAGCAGCUGAGAAUAUUGCACAAUGGACGAAAGCCUGAUGCAGCGACGCCGCGUGGAUGAUGAAGGCCUACGGGGUGUAAACUCCUUUUACACUGUAGGAAUAGAGACAUGAGUAGGGAAUUAGUUUGUGAUGACAUGUACAGUUAGAAUAAGCACCGGCUAAUUUCGUGCCAGCAGCCGCGGUAACACGUGAGGUGCGAGCGUUGUUCGGAAUCAUUGGGCGUAAAGGGCAUGUAGGCGGAUUUGCAAGCUAUAUGUGAAAUCCCGCAGCCCAACUCCGGAUCUGCAUAGGGAACUGCAAGUCUAGAGUUGUUGAGGGGCAACUAGAAUUUCAAGUGUAGGGGUGAAAUCUGUAGAUAUCAGAAAGAACACCAAUGGCGAAGGCAACUAUCUGGCAGAUAACUGACGCUGAGGCUCGAAGGUGCGGGGAGCAAACAGGAUUAGAUACCCUGGUAGUCCGCACAGUAAA